rnacentral:rRNA from 1 species
GACGAACGCUGGCGGCGUGCCUAACACAUGCAAGUCGAGCGAGUGAAUCUCCUUCGGGAGUGAAGCUAGCGGCGGACGGGUGAGUAACACGUGGGCAACCUGCCUCAUAGAGGGGAAUAGCCUUUCGAAAGGAAGAUUAAUACCGCAUAAGAUUGUAGCUUCGCAUGAAGUAGCAAUUAAAGGAGCAAUCCGCUAUGAGAUGGGCCCGCGGCGCAUUAGCAAGUUGGUGAGGUAACGGCUCACCAAGGCGACGAUGCGUAGCCGACCUGAGAGGGUGAUCGGCCACAUUGGGACUGACACACGGCCCAGCCUCCUACGGGAGGCAGCAAUGGGGAAUAUUGCACAAUGGGGGAAACCCUGAUGCAGCAACGCCGCGUGAGUGAUGACGGCCUUCGGGUUGUAAAGCUCUGUCUUCAGGGACGAUAAUGACGGUACCUGAGGAGGAAGCCACGGCUAACUACGUUCCAGCAGCCGCCGUAA